UAACAAUCAAACCUGAAAUCCCAUAAACCUAUGAAUAAAUUAUGGCCUCCAUUAGAUUAUAGUCCAAUAUUAACCAUUGAAUAGUCAUGGAUAAUCCCAUAAAUAAUGGCAUCAGAUCGUCUUCCUCCUAUUUUUUCAGUUCAUCUAUCUCACCCUUCCUUUUUUUAAUCUUAUCUCUCUUUGCAACAAAAAUUAUAUAUGGAGAUAAAACUUAAUUUGGUGUGCUUUAUCUCUUUUUCCGAAAUUAUCCAAUAAACUUGAAAAAGCUUUCAGACUCCAGAUUUUUUUCUUAAAUUCCGUUUGGGCAGAUUUAUUUCAGGGAAAAAAAAUGAAGCGGCACUUUUGGUUUGUCAGAUGAGACAUAGAAAAAGGAAAAUUGCAGACGAGAAACAUAGGAAACGGAAUGUGAAAGAGAGACGGUUGAGUGAUGAUUCGGUGUAAAUGAUCGGGGCCUUUUAUGCACUUCUCUUUUUCCAAUUCUUCUUUUCGCCGUGUAUCCUCAACUACCAACAGCUGCUACUCGGCUCGAAUGCUUCUCCUCGACGGCACCCUUGGGUUUUGAGUGGCUGUUAAAGUGCAAUUAGUACUAUUUGGUAAGAUUAUGGGAGCGCUCAUUGUGCAGUUGACUCGCUCACCUCCAUUUUUCGUUGAUCCAGUUGUUUCGUUUGGUUCAUUCUCUUGGUGGUGGUGGCCUUGUGAUGGAGGCACAUUGGCUGACUUGGUGGCGACUGCUGGUUUCCGCUCCAUUUUUAGGAUUUUUUGUUGUUUCUAAUUUGGGUCCUUUUGGGCUUUCUAUUAUAUUUUCUUUGUUAUGUUGAGCUUGUAUUUAGGUUGUGGACUAUCUUUUGGACUUUCUUCUGCUUA